rnacentral:lncRNA from 1 species
CCUGCCUAUGUGUCUGUUUUUAUUCCUGUGAUUUCUGCACUGAAUUAGUAGCCAUGACCACUAUAUGUUUCAAUAAAUUUUGCCAUUGGUUGCAGUGGAGGCGACUGUACCAGGCAGUGCUGGUUUGCCUGCUGCAGCACACACAGGGCCACCUCAAGCAGAUGAGCUGUUUUGUGUUGUCAAUGGACAGGUACUGGUUGGUGAAAGCCUCCACAUGCCAGAAAAUAAGUGGCAAUACAUAAUGAAGUCCAGAGGAGAUGCAAAAUGCGUGCUGGAUGUAGCCAGACAUCUGUGGACCCCAGCAGAAGCUGGCGAAAGAAGCUUGACUGGGCAAGCUUGCCGGACGAUGUCCGAAUCAUCCGGCAAGCUGGCGGCAACACCAGUGAAAGUGGAUGCUGUGAAGAACUGCCUGGAGAAGUAUGUGGCCAUGCAUCCUUCGGGGCCAGCAGCACCACCUGCUGAACACCGUAUUGCAGCAGUCCGAAAACACCUGCGCAGCUUUUUUACUGAAGCUGCCCGACAGGGAAAGAGAGUCCGUCAACAGAAAAGAGCAGAGGCCUCCCUGCCAGAUGGACAAUAAAAACGUUUGUCACAUAUAACAGUAUACAUAUUUAUUCCAUACGGCAGA